GAUGAACGCUGGCGGCGUGCCUAAUACAUGCAAGUCGAGCGAACAGACGAGGAGCUUGCUCCUCUGACGUUAGCGGCGGACGGGUGAGUAACACGUGGAUAACCUACCUAUAAGACUGGGAUAACUUCGGGAAACCGGAGCUAAUACCGGAUAAUAUAUUGAACCGCAUGGUUCAAUAGUGAAAUACGGUUUUUCUGUCACUUAUAGAUGGAUCCGCGCCGCAUUAGCUAGUUGGUAAGGUAACGGCUUACCAAGGCAACGAUGCGUAGCCGACCUGAGAGGGUGAUCGGCCACACUGGAACUGAGACACGGUCCAGACUCCUACGGGAGGCAGCAGUAGGGAAUCGUCCGCAAUGGGCGAAAGCCUGACGGAGCAACGCCGCGUGAGUGAUGAAGGUCUUCGGAUCGUAAAACUCUGUUAUUAGGGAAGAACAAAUGUGUAAGUAACUAUGCACGUCUUGACGGUACCUAAUCAGAAAGCCACGGCUAACUACGUG
rnacentral:rRNA from 1 species